rnacentral:rRNA from 1 species
AAAUUGAAGAGUUUGAUCAUGGCUCAGAUUGAACGCUGGCGGCAGGCCUAACACAUGCAAGUCGAACGGUAACAGGAAGCAGCUUGCUGCUUUGCUGACGAGUGGCGAACGGGUGAGUAAUGUCUGGGAAACUGCCCGAUGGAGGGGGAUAACUACUGGAAACGGUAGCUAAUACCGCAUAACGUCGCAAGACCAAAGAGGGGGACCUUAGGGCCUCUUGCCAUCGGAUGUGCCCAGAUGGGAUUAGCUAGUAGGUGGGGUAA